UAGUUCGCUACUAUACUAAAAUUGGAACGAUACAGAGAGAUUAGCAUGGCCCCUGCGCAAGGAUGAACGCAAUUCGUGAAGCGUUCCUCAUUUUG
rnacentral:snRNA from 1 species